UGGAGCGUCCGGCGCGAGAU
rnacentral:misc_RNA from 1 species